rnacentral:tRNA from 1 species
ACCGCGGUACCUCAGUUGGCAGAGCAUCUUCCCGGCAUGUGGACUGUCGCCGAUUCGGUUCCGGCUCGCGGCG